GUGCCAGCAGCCGCGGUAAUACGGAGGAUGCAAGCGUUAUCCGGAAUUAUUGGGCGUAAAGUGUCCGCAGGUGGCUUUUCAAGUCUGCUGUCAAAGCCCGGAGCUUAACUCCGGCAAGGCGGUGGAAACUGAGAAGCUAGAGUGCAGUAGGGGUAGAGGGAAUUCCCGGUGUAGCGGUGAAAUGCGUAGAGUUCGGGAAGAACAUCGGUGGCGAAAGCGCUCUGCUGGACUGCAACUGACACUCACAGGACGAAAGCUAGGGGAGCGAAUGGGAUUAGAAACCCUAGUAGUCC
rnacentral:rRNA from 1 species